UGAACUCAAUGUGUGAGCCUCUGUUGUUC
rnacentral:piRNA from 1 species